rnacentral:ribozyme from 13 species
CAAAAACGAAAAGAAGAGAGAGGGAAAUGGCUUCUUGGUGAGUUUGUCAUCUCUUUGUAUGUUUGGUAUCUUUCUCCGAUUGAUUUGAGAUCUGAGAGUCCUUCUUUGUUUGAGUGUUUGGUCUGUUCCGGAGAAGGAGGAAGAAAAGGGUCCCAAGCAGGAGGGAGAUCAAAAGGAAAAGAAGAAGCCAAUUGUUCAAUCAAAUGAAAACCAGUAUCUUUUCUUAAAUUGAAAAGAAGAAGAUAUGAAAAUGGCUUUGUUUCUAAUGCCCAGAUGAACA